AGAGUUUGAUCCUGGCUCAGAUUGAACGCUGGUGGCAUGCUUAACACAUGCAAGUCGCACGGCAGCAUGAUCUAGCUUGCUAGAUUGAUGGCGAGUGGCGGACGGGUGAGUAACGCGUAGGAAUCUGUCUUAAAGUUGGGGAUAACACGGGGAAACUCGUGCUAAUACCGCAUAAAGUUUACGAACCAAAGCUGGGGACCUUCGGGCCUGGCGCUUUGAGAUGAGCCUGCGUUGGAUUAGCUAGUUGGUGAGGUAAGGGCUCACCAAGGCUGCGAUCCAUAGCUGUUCUGAGAGGAAGAUCAGCCACACUGGGACUGAGACACGGCCCAGACUCCUACGGGAGGCAGCAGUGGGGAAUAUUGGACAAUGGGGGCAACCCUGAUCCAGCAAUGCCACGUGUGUGAAGAAGGCCUUAGGGUUGUAAAGCACUUUCAGGAAGGAGGAAAGGUAUUAGAUUAAGAGUUAAAUACUGUGACGUUACUUUCAGAAGAAGCACCGGCAAACUCCGUGCCAGCAGCCGCGGUAAUACGGAGGGUGCGAGCGUUAAUCGGACUUACUGGGCGUAAAGGGUCCGUAGGCGGAUAAAUAAGUCAGAUGUAAAAGUCCAGGGCUCAACCUUGGGAUGUCAUUUGAAACUGUGUAUCUAGAGUAUAGGAGAGGAAAGGGGAAUUUCUGGUGUAGCGGUGAAAUGCGUAGAUAUCAGAAGGAACACCAAUGGCGAAGGCAACUUUCUGGCCGAAUACUGACGCUGAGGGACGAAAGCAUGGUUAGCGAACAGGAUUAGAUACCCUGGUAGUCCAUGCUGUAAACGAUGAGUACUAGCUGUAGGAAUCGGUGUUAAGGUUCUUGUGGCGUAGCUAACGCGCUAAGUACUCCGCCUGGGGAUUACGGCCGCAAGGCUAAAACUCAAAGGAAUUGACGGGGACCCGCACAAGCGGUGGAGCAUGUGGUUUAAUUCGAUGCAACGCGAAGAACCUUACCUACCCUUGACAUACUGAGAACGAUUUAGAGAUAGAUCGGUGCCUUCGGGAAUUCAGAUACAGGUGCUGCAUGGCUGUCGUCAGCUCGUGUCGUGAGAUGUUGGGUUAAGUCCCGCAACGAGCGCAACCCUUAUUUAUAGUUGCCAUCAUUGAGUUGGGCACUCUAUAGAGACUGCCGUGGUUAACACGGAGGAAGGUGGGGACGACGUCAAGUCAUCAUGGCCCUUACGGGUAGGGCUACACACGUGCUACAAUGGGCAUUACAGAGGGAAGCGAAGAGGCGACUUGGAGCGAAACUCACAAAGGUGUUCGUAGUCCGGAUUGUUCUCUGCAACUCGAGAACAUGAAGUCGGAAUCGCUAGUAAUCGCGAAUCAGCAUGUCGCGGUGAAUACGUUCCCGGGUCUUGUACACACCGCCCGUCACACCAUGGGAGUGGGUUGCACCAGAAGUGGCUAGUCUAACUAUUAGAGGACGGUCACCACGGUGUGAUUCAUGACUGGGGUGAAGUCGUAACAAGGUAGCCGUAGGGGAACCUGCGGCUGGAUCACCU
rnacentral:rRNA from 1 species